AUUGACCCAAAUGAAUAGUUCCAGAUACAUUGAAAAUGAUCAUACAUCCUUCGAUAGGGCAAUCGACUAAAACAUGGGCAAGUAUGUUCAGAUUACCCGUUCCAUAUACAUAAACAUCAGAAUCGAACCGCAAAUCCGAGUUCAAUGUACAAGUGGUAUUCAAAGAUCCAACACCAUCCAAGUCUUGACAAGUCACAGAAAUCGGUAAACUAGUAGAAUUCCCAGAAUCUUCAUCUGAAAACAAUCUCAGAGGGCUCUCAAAUUCAGUGCCCCCAUACUGUGAUAAGCUAAAACAUGGCGUGGACACCAAAAGAACACACAAGAACACAAGUCCAAGCAUCACCAAUGAAAGCAAAAAUCAGUCAC
rnacentral:lncRNA from 1 species